UGGAUUUUUGAAGACUCAUACUAUAUACGGCUUUUUGCAUGCGGGUCGGGUAGCGGGUACGACUUUUUGCAUGCGGGUAGGCACUAUUCGUGCCCGACCCGACCCGUUGCCAUCCCUAGUUCCAGCAGCGUUAUGAGGAUUAUGGCAAUCUUCCUACGCCAUCUCCUGUAGCGAAACAUGUGCCCCCUACAGAAGCGGUAAAGGAAGUUGCUUAUCUGCCGGUGCCCUAGGGGACGACAUGGAUGACACUCGUCCAUCUCAGUUAUAUAUUCUCUCUAGUACCGGGACCAUGCUAGUGGCUCGUGGUACAGUUUAUUAGACAACCACUGUAGUGCAUGGUGUAAAACUUGCAGAAGAUGAGGUCAAGGUCACGUGGAUGAAGUUGUCAUACGAGAUGCCGUUCUUCCAGUGCCUACAGAUGAGUUCUUCACUGUGGAAGAGACAUUUAAGUCCUUUGUCGCCUGGCUUAGACAUUUGGUUGGUGAUGUAUCUGAUCUCCCGCAAAUAGGUCAAGAGGGAAGUCCUACACCGAAGAAGACUCAUUUAUCUGAGGACGAACCUCUUGGUGCGUUAGACGAGCUUGCUAAAAUAAUUUCAGAUGCGCCGAUGAAUCUACACUGGGAUUCAACUACAUUUGGAAGAGAAGCUCAGAUCCCAUUGUACUUGCAUCAGCAAGAUGUUAGGGAGCUUGCGUUGGGGAGAGAAGAAAUUAAUAUUACACUCAUUCAGCUGUGGAUGAUGUAUAUGUUUGAUGUUAGUAAGAAGAAGGGGUUCAGCGAUGUAUGUGGGUUCAUUGACCCCUCUAUGACUCAUGAAAGAAAUAAAUUUGAUGAUAUCCAAACAUACAUCACCACCUGCUUUGGAAUGGGGAAGGAGAUAUAUUUUUUCCCUUAUAUACAUGGGUGUCAUUGGCAGAUACUUGUGAUCUUCAUACCAGAAAACACUGCUAUCUGGUUUUAUUCAUUGCACAAGUCUCCUCC